AUUUUUCUCAUUUCAGAUUUCAGAAAUUAAAAAAAUUAUUCUUCAAAUAUUAUUUUUUUUUCAAAUUUCAAAUAUUGAAAAAUUUCAAGAAGAAAUCUUUAAUUGCACAGUAUGGCGCAUUAGAUUUGUAAAAUCUUUGAUCACAUUUAUUUAUUUGUUAUGCCGAAUCCAACAGUGUAUUUAGAUUUUUAAUUUUGGGUCCAGUUUUCAAAUUGGUCUACAUUAAGGUCCAAAGGGUCCAAAAUUAAACUUUGUUUGAUUUUAGCAAAAAUUAAAUAUAUGAGGUUCUUUGAUAUGCUGAAUCUAAACAUGUAUUUAGAUUUUUGAUUUUUGGCCCAGUUUUCAAGUUGGUCCAAAUUGGGGUCCAAAAUUAAACUUUGUUUGAUUUCAACAAAAAUUGAAUAUAUGGGGUUCCUUGAUAUGCUGAAUCUAACCAUGUAUUUAGAUUUUUUAUUUGUGGACCCCUUUAUCAAAUUGGUUCAUAUUGAGGUCAAAAGGGUCCAAAAUUAAACUUUGUUUGAUUUCAUCUAAAAUUGAAUUAUUGGGGUUCUUUGAUAUUCCAAAUCUAACCGUGUAUUUAGAUUUUUAAUUUUGGGUCCUGUUUUUUAAAUUGGUCUACAUUAAGGUCCAAAGGGUCCAAAAUUAAACUUAGUUUGAUUUUAGCAAAAAUUGAAUUCUUGGGGUUAAUUGAUAUGCUGAAUCUAAACAUGUGUUUAGAUUUUUGAUUAUGGGCCCAGUUUUCAAGUUGGUCCAAGUUGGGGUCCAAAAUUAAACUUUGUUUGAUUUUAACAAAAAUUGAAUAUAUGGGGUUCUUUAAUUUGAUAUGCUGAAUCUAACCAUGUAUUUUGAUCUUGGACAUUGGACCAUAAUAGGUAAAUUAAAAAAAUUCAAGUUCUUAGACCACAUUCUUUCUGUGUCAGAAACCUAUGCUGUGUCAAAUAUUUAAUAACAAUCCAAAUUCAGAGCUGUAUUAAGCUUGAAUGUUGUGUCCAUACUUGCCCCAACUGUUCAGGGUUCGACCUCUGCGGUCGUAUCAAGCUGCGCCCCAGCGAAGCAUUUUAUUUUAUGU